GAUGAACGCUGGCGGCGUGCCUAAUACAUGCAAGUCGAGCGAACGGACGAGAAGCUUGCUUCUCUGAUGUUAGCGGCGGACGGGUGAGUAACACGUGGAUAACCUACCUUUAAGACUGGGAUAACUUCGGGAAACCGGAGCUAAUACCGGAUAAUAUUUUGAACCGCAUGGUCCAAAAGUGAAAGACGGUCUUGCUGUCACUUAUAGAUGGAUCCGCGCUGCAUUAGCUAGUUGGUAAGGUAACGGCUUACCAAGGCAACGAUGCAUAGCCGACCUGAGAGGAUGAUCGGCCACACUGGAACUGAGACACGGUCCAGACUCCUACGGGAGGCAGCAGUAGGGAAUCUUCCGCAAUGGGCGAAAGCCUGACGGAGCAACGCCGCGUGAGUGAUGAAGGUCUUCGGAUCGUAAAACUCUGUUAUUAGGGAAGAACAUAUGUGUAAGUAACUGUGCACAUCUUGACGGUACCUAAUCAGAAAGCCACGGCUAACUACGUG
rnacentral:rRNA from 1 species